rnacentral:siRNA from 1 species
UACUAGGAUGGGUGACCUCCUGG